GGUCGAUGACUGGUAACUUUCAGGUACUCUGCUUCUCCUUUGUGAGUGAAUGAAGGCGGUGGCACGUGGAAGUUACUUUUCAAAGCUAAUUAGCUGGGCGUUAAGUCUCAUCAGAUGCUUAACCUAUCAGGUUGGGCUUUACCUAUUUCUGAGACUGCCAGAAUGCAUCAGGAGCUUUCCUAGCAAGAAGGAGAUGUGCUUCCUUCUCCAUGGGCUGUGUGGUGUGAAGAUAUGAGUGGCUGCAGUUCAAAGUUCCUGCUGAACCCGCCAGCUCUCCCAACUGCCUGCUGCAGCCCUCAGCACGCGGAUCUGGCUCUGCAGGGUGGGAACUGAAGAGCAAGCUUCUGGGAGCUCUCCUCUUGACUCCAUGCUGACAGCUCCCUUCCAGGAUCAGCUGCUAUCUCAAAGAACUCACCUCUGCCGCUCCAGAGGGCUCUGCCUGUUCUUCUGCCCAAAAGAUGGGGAAGGCCACCUGUGCCUGGGGGUGCAAGUCCUGGUUUGUUCAAGCGCAGCGUUCCUCCACCCCCACUUACUGGGCAGCCUACAGGAAGGCAGUGAGGGUUGGUCACUGGAUUUAGUGUGGGCAACUUCUGAGUUACCGCGAUUCAUUUAUUCCACGCAGUACCGGAAGAAUGUAAAGAAGCACUGAAAAGUCCCAAUUUCCAGAGUAAGAUGUGCUCUUUUGCUGUAGAAAUGAGAAAAACAAGUGUUCUCUGCCUAAAAAUAACUGAGAAUGGUCAGGAACUGGCUGAAUGGGGACAGAGUGGGGACAUGACUUAGGUAAGGCAACAGCUCAUACCCAACCAGUAAGGCCAGUGUUUUAUAGUGCCUGGAGGUGGCUGAAAUAUGUCGCAAUCCUCUUCCACUCUUGGACAUAAGAGAAGCAGUCUCUGUAGUGCAACGCCAAGAAGUACAUCUUCCUAAUAUGAAAAUGAUUAGAAAAUGCAGAACUCUUGGAUCCACAGCUGUCUCAGAGCCAAACACAUUUGCUUGUUGUCAGCCUUAAUAAUCAUGAGCUGUGUGUGGAAAAUAAAUUGCAUCUUUCACAAAAAUGCUGGGAUUAUAAGAAUUAUAGCUAGAGGCAUAAUAAUCAUCAGGGUCUUGCCAGUACCUCAGAUACCUUCCCUUAACUAAAGCACAGGCUUGCUGUCUGUGAUGGUCCAGAUUCAGUAUCUCACCACACAGCUGCUUGUUACCAGCGCGUGGCUCUCAAGUGGAGAUGAGUCACAGAUCACUGCAGUGUCUUUGAGUGUCACAACAUGAAGGAAGAAUGAGAGUGCGCUGACACUGUUGUACCCAUUGCUAUUUCACCCUGCACAGCGUGUCACGGGGCACGUGGGGAGUUAACUUUGUGGUGUGCUCUCACUCUGAGUUGCAAGGCAGCCACUCUGCAUGGCUGCUACCCAACGUCAAGCUGCAACAUGCAGGAGGCACCCAGGCACACCUCUUUGCCUCCUCUUUCACCUUUCAUUGCCUUAGUGCUCAAAUAUUGAAUGGAAAAUAACGAUCAAGUACUGUGUUGUUUAUUUUCAGAUUUUCUGUGCCAAGCACAAUAAACAUUCCCCGUGCUGUGAAGCAGAGGUGGUC
rnacentral:lncRNA from 7 species